UCGAACCUGCAGCAGGUUCGGGUCGAACGCAGUGAGACAACGGAGCCGCUUGCGGCGACGGCCCGAAGGGCGAGGCGAAGCCGAGUCAUCCUGCACGACCCACCA
rnacentral:sRNA from 1 species